AGGAAGGCAGUUAGGCUGCAGUGAAUUCUACAAAGAAGACUAUGGGAAAGGAGCCUGGAAAGUACCCUUGGCUGUGUAUAUUUGAGUAAAGAGAGCACUAUAAAAUCAAAAACCAAUGAAAUGGUUUCCAGAACACAGAGCUAUUAAGCUUAAGAAAAGGACAGAAGGAACUGAAGAGAGAGGAACUGUGUUUUGGAGCAUCACACUUCCACCUCAGAAGAAAUAAGGAAGGAAGGAGGAGGGUGUUCCCAUGGCUCUUCAACCAGGCCAGCUCUUCAGCCUACAUCCCCAUCUCAUCAAGUAAAAGGGAUUUUUCAAUUGGACCAACCAGAUGGUUUAACAGUGCACUCCCACACCAUUCAACUACGCAAGGGAGAUUCACUUAACAUAUGCAGUCGUAUAACACCUACUAACAUUUUCAAACAUUAAACCUUUAAAAAAGAGUUCUAAAGAAAUAGAAGCAUGAAGUAUCAUCUCUCAAGUAUAUAGACACUACUUCAUGGUGUGGUAAUAUAUGCAUAUAGAAGCUAGUAAACACCUCCAGGAUGUGCAAAAGGAAUUAGAACUGCCACAAGGUGCAAGCAAAACCUUGAAUCUCCAUUGAUGGUGAAGUAUUUUCACUAUUUGGCAUGUCUCAUCUAGUACCUAGAACAGUGUGUUGCAUGCAGUAGCAGGUUUAUAAACAUUUGCGAGUAAAAAAUCCAACCUGAUACUCAAGUCCUGUUUUUCCUCUUCUAAUCCUUCACCCAUCUGAGCUAAAGUCUAGACCCAAGGAGGCUACUAAUUCAGGGAUCGAGUAAUCUGCCAAGCAAGAGUUUAUUCAAGCACAGUUUGAAAUAAAGGUUUCAAAUGCAUGGCCUGUCGAUACUUUGGAUGGAUUCUCAUCAUAACGUGUAUGCAAUUUGCUAUAAAGAAGAAUGCCCAUUAUGGACUAAAUGUUUAUGACUCCUAAAAUUCAUAUGUUGAAGUCCUAACUCUCAGUGUGAUGAUUAUGUGGAGAUGGUGCCUUUGGGAGGUAACCGGGCUUAGAUGUGGUCACGAGGGUGGGGCCUCAUGGUGCAAUUUGUGCCCUUGUAAGAAAAACACACCACAGCUUUUCGUUCUUCCUCUGCCACGUGAGGCCACAGUAAGAAUGUGACCAUCUACAAGCCAGGAGGAAAGUCCUCACUGGAACCUGCCCAUAAUAACACUCCAGUCUGGGGCUUUUCAGCCUCCAGAAACAUGAGAAAUAAAUUUCCGGUGUUUAAGUCA